rnacentral:lncRNA from 1 species
CCAUGCAUGAAAACCUGGUUUCUUGGUUUGUUGUUAACACUGUUGUUUUCCAGUGAGUAACUGGGUAAAUAUCACUCUGAGAACAGACUCAUGAUCUUGCAGUCAGGCUGCAUUAUAUUCCACAAGUGUGUCAGAGAGGUGAUUCCAUGCAUAAAUAGAGACAAUAUUUACAUUUAUUUCAACCUAGACCAUUUAAAGCAGUCCAAGUUGUGUGCUUAUAUCUUUUGAAAAAGACACUUAGAGAGGAGAAUAGCAUUAGAGUAUGUAACC